CCUAGGGGGGGCAGCAGUAGGGAAUUUUCGUCAAUGGGCGCAAGCCUGAACGAGCAAUGCCGCGUGAACGAGGAAGGUCUUCGGAUCGUAAAGUUCUGUUGAAGGGGAAAAAGAGCGGAGAGAGGAAAUGGUCUCCGAUUGAUAUUACCCUUCGAGGAAGUCACGGCUAACUACGUGCCAGCAGCCGCGGUAAUACGGAGGAUGCGAGCGUUAUCCGGAUUUAUUGGGUUUAAAGGGUGCGUAGGCGGGCUUUUAAGUCAGCGGUAAAAAUUCGGGGCUCAACCCCGUCCGGCCGUUGAAACUGGGGGCCUUGAGUGGGCGAGAAGAAGGCGGAAUGCGUGGUGUAGCGGUGAAAUGCAUAGAUAUCACGCAGAACCCCGAUUGCGAAGGCAGCCUUCCGGCGCCCUACUGACGCUGAGGCACGAAAGUGCGGGGAUCGAACAGGAUUAGAUACCCGAGUAGUC
rnacentral:rRNA from 1 species